rnacentral:rRNA from 1 species
AACGAACGCUAGCGGGAUGCUUCAAACAUGCAAGUCGUACGCGAAAGCCUUCGGGCAAGUAGAGUGGCGCACGGGUGAGUAACACGUAGCUAACCUACCCAUUUGCUGGGGACAACUCCGGGAAACCGGAGCUAAUACCGAAUAGUCUAAUUUUUUCUGCGGAUUAAAUUGGUAAAGCCUUCGGGCGCGAAUGGAUGGGGCUGCGUCGCAUUAGUUUGAUGGUGGGGUAACGGCCUACCAUGGCUACGAUGCGUAGCUGGUCUGAGAGGAUGAUCAGUCACACUGGAACUGGAACACGGUCCAGACUCCCACGGGAGGCAGCAGUUGGGAAUAUUGGACAAUGGGGGAAACCCUGAUCCAGCAAUCCCGCGUGAAGGAUGAAGGUCUUCGGAUCGUAAACUUCUUUCGGUAGGGAGAACACAAUGACGGUACCUACAGAAGAAGCACCGGCUAAC